GAUGAACGCUGGCGGCGUGCCUAAUACAUGCAAGUCGAGCGAACAGACGAGGAGCUUACUCCUCUGACGUUAGCAGCGGACGGGUGAGUAACACGUGGAUAACCUACCUAUAAGACUGGGAUAACUUCGGGAAACCGGAGCUAAUACCGGAUAACAUGUUGAACCGCAUGGUUCAACAGUGAAAGACGGUCUUGCUGUCACUUAUAGAUGGAUCCGCGUCGCAUUAGCUAGUUGGUAAGGUAACGGCUUACCAAGGCAACGAUGCGUAGCCGACCUGAGAGGGUGAUCGGCCACACUGGAACUGAGACACGGUCCAGACUCCUACGGGAGGCAGCAGUAGGGAAUCUUCCCAAUGGGCGAAAGCCUGACGGAGCAACGCCGCGUGAGUGAAGAAGGUCUUCGGAUCGUAAAACUCUGUUAUUAGGGAAGAACAAAUGUGUAAGUAACUAUGCACGUCUUGACGGUACCUAAUCAGAAAGCCACGGCUAACUGCGUG
rnacentral:rRNA from 1 species